rnacentral:miRNA from 1 species
ACGUACCGGGAGUGAUAAUGC